AAGAAAGCAAACAAAAGUAAACUCUAGAAAAUUUUCUCCUCCCUUCCCUUCUCUUUUGCUACUAGCCGCCCCCCCUACUUAGGUUUUCUUCUCCGGUCAAAGCUGCUCCUUCAGCGAAGCUCAGCGGCGGCAGACGACUUGAGUAGUGGUAGUGCACGAUGGCGUGUUUCCGACAGAACUCGACAUCAGCGGGGGUUUUGAGCAGCAUCGCUUCGGCAUCCUCCUUGUACGUUUCUUCUUGACGAACGGCGACAGCGAGUUAGCGACUCCAGCAGUGACAUCUGAUAGCAGUGACGGUGUCUUCCUCGACGUUCCAACAAACCUGCAGCGGUGAGAAUCGAGCAGACCCCGCAUUCUGCGGUGGCGCACCUCCUUCUCUGACAUUCCUACACUUUCCGAUAAGUCACCAUGGCGGCACAUGACAAACAGAGGGGUUUUCACUACAUUCUCCAGCCCGACAACUCCGAACAGCCAAGAUUCAUGAAGCCUAGUGAGCUUGGUGAUGUUUCUCAGCCUCUAGGCCUUUCGACAUUAUUUUGGCGUUGACUCAUACCGAAACAGGCCUCGAUGUGUGAUACCCACCCCUAUUUGGACUCAAACCGACAUUACCCAUCACUUUUUCACAUCGGAAUAGCAAGCCUAAGGCCAUUUGAACUUGAAUUUGGGAGCCCGAACCUCCUCGGCGUCUAUCCACUCCUAACCCAAGUUGUUUUAGUGUGAGUUAGUAGGUAACUACUCACCUAAACACGGUUUCAAUUAUAUUGAAGUGUUUCUAUUUGGUUACUGACCUCGAGAUCGUAUUCCUUUUAUUUAGGAACUCCUCGACAAGCUUAGGAGCUUUAUGACAUACUUUUGUAACGAGGUCACACACAGGAAUGGUGAUGGCGAGGAGGAGACUUGACUAGAAGAACCAUAUAGCACUGCGUCAUUUUAUUUUAAAUAGGAUAGUUGGAGUUGUUUCUUUUUGUUAUUUCAUCAGCAGGUUGGUUUGUUUAAGUUUUAUGUUUAAAGGAUGUGUUAAGAUGACAAUUAGUUAUUCUUUUGAGAACUCCAGUUAUGUUGAGUUAUUUGAGUUCUGAUAUUGGAACUUUGAGUUAAUAAAGUCUACUUAUAUGAAA